CCUACGGGAGGCAGCAGUAGGGAAUCUUCCACAAUGGGCGAAAGUCUGAUGGAGCAACGCCGCGUGAGUGAUGAAGGUUUUCGGAUCGUAAAACUCUGUUGUAAGGGAAGAACAAGUACGAGAGGGAAUGCUCGUACCUUGACGGUACCUUGCGAGAAAGCCACGGCUGACUACGUGCCAGCAGCCGCGGUAAUACGUAGGUGGCAAGCGUUGUCCGGAAUUAUUGGGCGUAAAGCGCGCGCAGGCGGCCUUUUAAGUCUGAUGUGAAAGCCCCCGGCUCAACCGGGGAGGGUCAUUGGAAACUGGAAGGCUUGAGUACAGAAGAGAAGAGUGGAAUUCCAUGUGUAGCGGUGAAAUGCGUAGAGAUGUGGAGGAACACCAGUGGCGAAGGCGACUCUUUGGUCUGUAACUGACGCUGAGGCGCUAAAGCGUGGGGAGCAAACAGGAUUAGAUACCCUGGUAGUCCACGCCGUAAACGAUGAGUGCUAGGUGUUGGGGGGUUUCCGCCCGUCAGUGCUGAAGCUAACGCAUUAAGCACUCCGCCUGGGGAUACGGCCGCAAGGCUGAAACUUAAGGAAUUGACCGG
rnacentral:rRNA from 1 species